GACGAACGCUGGCGGCGUGCUUAACACAUGCAAGUCGAACGAAGUGGCGAACGGGUGAGUAACGCGGAAUCAACCUGCUCUUCUGAGGGGGACAACAGUUGGAAACGACUGCUAAUACCGCAAACUGAAGGAGGGGCUUGCGUCUGAUUAGCUAGUUGGAGGGGUAAUGGCCCACCAAGGCGAUGAUCAGUAGCCGGUCUGGGGGGAUGGACGGCCACAUUGGGACUGGGGCACGGCCCAGACUCCUACGGGAGGGAGCAGUGGGGAAACUUCCGCAAUGGGCGAAAGUCUGACGGGGCAACGCCGCGUGGGUGAUGACGGCCUUCGGGUUGUAAAGCUCUGUUAAUCGGGGCGCGGUACCGGAAUAGAAAGCCACGGCUAACUACGUGCCAGCAGCCGCGGUAAUAC
rnacentral:rRNA from 1 species